GCUAAAUUCUUCAGUCUAAUAGCUAAUAUCUAACACUUGCACAAGUUAAAGGUACAUAUAAAUAAAAUUCUUUGUGAUAUAAAGAGGGAGAAUUAUAAUGGAUUUUUAGAGGAUAAUGAUUUUUAGACGAUAAUUAGCACAAUGGCAGAGUUUCUCACAAUUUAGUGAACUUAAAAAUCGCCAAGGAGCAUAUUUAAAUUCAGAUUGCCUGCCAGCUGUGAGAAAUUCUGAUUUACUGGUCUGGUGAGGCCCAGGAAGCUGCAGUUUUAAUAAGCAACCCAUGAGGUUAGAUCACAACGGUUGGGGAAUCACACUUUGAGCCACUAUUCCCUGAGGGGCUAGCCUCAAAUAGGCCAUUCUGGAUGAUUGAAUGGGUCUAGAAAUUGCCCUACAAGGAAAAAAAUCCAUACUGGAUCAAUCAUAAUUUCAAAAUACCCACAAUUAGCCUUAACACUUCAUAUUCAAGGGUUUCAUUCAGUUGUGGAUCACUCUUGAGAUUACCAGAAGUCUUUCACACCUCAGGAGCCAUCUGGGCAAUCCAACCUGCUCUGUGGUUCAAAGCCUGCCUGGCUGAUCUGCAAGGAAAAGUCUGAUGGUGUGAGGGCAGAGAGGAGAGGACCCUGGAGGGUAUGCAUGCUGAAAUGCCAGGUCCAGGGAAACUAAGGAUAAAAUAAAAGGACUAAGCUGUUGGGGAGGAAAGAGCAACUGAUAAAAAUGGAGAAAAUAAAGGCGGCUCUGAAGCAGAAGGAAGGGGAGCAGAGAAUGGAAGGUGUAAACCCACACCAGCUCCUUCUCUGUGUGCCUGCCCACUGACAACCAGAAAACUGGAGUUAUCACCAGUUCAGCUGGCCUGCUGCAGUCCAUGGGGUCGCAAAGAGUCGGACACAACUGAAGGACUGAACUGAGCUGAACUGAACUGAGGGGGUAGGGGGUAUCAAGAAAUGACACCCAAGCUGAUCCUUAAGAGAGCACAGAGAUCAUUAAGGACAUCUAUGGUCUUGACUCUGCCCAACAUCUUUUCUCCUCUUUUGGAAAGAAUGUUAUCUCUUCCUUUAGGUAAUUGCUCCUCCCUUGCACCAAUCAAAUUUUGUGGAGUUGUCAAUCAUUUCUCUACCUUGUCUUGGGGUGGGCUUAUGACUCAAGAACAGCCAAUCAUUUCAAAUUUAUGAAAUAAAUUUAGGAAAAAUCAAGAGAAUAUACUGUGUAAUGUACUAGCAAUGUUGGAAUCAGACCAAAAGAAAGUUUUAUUUUUUGUAAAUUUCUUUAACUUACCAUCAAUCUUACCUAGAAAUUUUGAUACCUAGCAGACAGAGCAUUAACUACAGAGUAAAUGAACUCUGUAUUUUUCUCUAUGUUUCUCCUUUCUUUUCUGUAGGGUGGAUCUAAUCAGUAGGUAUGGGAGAUCCAGGCUGGGCCCAUCUGAGUCCUUCCAGAAGAGUUUUCACAAUAACACUGGAAGGGAAUCUUUUUUCUCUUUGGAAUUAGUUUACUGGAGCAGUAGAAUCUCUCCACAGCCCUCUCCUGCUGCUACUUCCAGCUUGAGUUCUGUACCUAUAGAGGAGAAAAUAAAGUACCACAUCUGGAGCUGAAUAAAUGUGCAAAGGGAGACUUGAGGAUGUGAGAGUUCCCGGUUUCCACAUACAGAGGAGUGCCCUUUCUGUAGCACCUUUUUUCUCAGUGUUAACCUAGGUUGGAAUUCUAUCAGUUGUAACUAGACAAGCCCAGUAUAAUACAAAAAUUACCCAGGGACUUCCCUGGUGGUCCAGUGGC
ensembl:lncRNA